rnacentral:rRNA from 1 species
GACGUAGGGCGCGAGCGUUGUCCGGAUUUAUUGGGCGUAAAGAGCUCGUAGGCGGCUUGUCGCGUCGUCCGUGAAAACCCACAGCUCAACUGUGGGCUUGCGGUCGAUACGGGCAGGCUAGAGUUCGGUAGGGGAGACUGGAAUUCCUGGUGUAGCGGUGAAAUGCGCAGAUAUCAGGAGGAACACCGGUGGCGAAGGCGGCAUCCUGGACCAACACUGACGCUGAGGAGCGAAAGCCAGGGGAGCAAACGGG